UAGAGUUUGGAUCAUGGCUCAGAUUGAACGCUGGCGGCAGGCCUAACACAUGCAAGUCGAGCGGAAACGAGUUAUCUGAACCUUCGGGGGACGAUAACGGCGUCGAGCGGCGGACGGGUGAGUAAUGCCUAGGAAAUUGCCCUGAUGUGGGGGAUAACCAUUGGAAACGAUGGCUAAUACCGCAUAAUGCCUACGGGCCAAAGAGGGGGACCUUCGGGCCUCUCGCGUCAGGAUAUGCCUAGGUGGGAUUAGCUAGUUGGUGAGGUAAUGGCUCACCAAGGCGACGAUCCCUAGCUGGUCUGAGAGGAUGAUCAGCCACACUGGAACUGAGACACGGUCCAGACUCCUACGGGAGGCAGCAGUGGGGAAUAUUGCACAAUGGGCGCAAGCCUGAUGCAGCCAUGCCGCGUGUGUGAAGAAGGCCUUCGGGUUGUAAAGCACUUUCAGUCGUGAGGAAGGUGGUGUAGUUAAUAGCUGCAUNANUUGACGUUAGCGACAGAAGAAGCACCGGCUAACUCCGUGCCAGCAGCCGCGGUAAUACGGAGGGUGCGAGCGUUAAUCGGAAUUACUGGGCGUAAAGCGCAUGCAGGUGGUUUGUUAAGUCAGAUGUGAAAGCCCGGGGCUCAACCUCGGAAUAGCAUUUGAAACUGGCAGACUAGAGUACUGUAGAGGGGGGUAGAAUUUCAGGUGUAGCGGUGAAAUGCGUAGAGAUCUGAAGGAAUACCGGUGGCGAAGGCGGCCCCCUGGACAGAUACUGACACUCAGAUGCGAAAGCGUGGGGAGCAAACAGGAUUAGAUACCCUGGUAGUCCACGCCGUAAACGAUGUCUACUUGGAGGUUGUGGCCUUGAGCCGUGGCUUUCGGAGCUAACGCGUUAAGUAGACCGCCUGGGGAGUACGGUCGCAAGAUUAAAACUCAAAUGAAUUGACGGGGGCCCGCACAAGCGGUGGAGCAUGUGGUUUAAUUCGAUGCAACGCGAAGAACCUUACCUACUCUUGACAUCCAGAGAACUUUCCAGAGAUGGAUUGGUGCCUUCGGGAACUCUGAGACAGGUGCUGCAUGGCUGUCGUCAGCUCGUGUUGUGAAAUGUUGGGUUAAGUCCCGCAACGAGCGCAACCCUUAUCCUUGUUUGCNAGCGAGUAAUGUCGGGAACUCCAGGGAGACUGCCGGUGAUAAACCGGAGGAAGGUGGGGACGACGUCAAGUCAUCAUGGCCCUUACGAGUAGGGCUACACACGUGCUACAAUGGCGCAUACAGAGGGCAGCAAGCUAGCGAUAGUGAGCGAAUCCCAAAAAGUGCGUCGUAGUCCGGAUUGGAGUCUGCAACUCGACUCCAUGAAGUCGGAAUCGCUAGUAAUCGUGGAUCAGAAUGCCACGGUGAAUACGUUCCCGGGCCUUGUACACACCGCCCGUCACACCAUGGGAGUGGGCUGCAAAAGAAGUAGGUAGUUUAACCUUCGGGAGGACG
rnacentral:rRNA from 1 species